GUUAUUUUGAUUACUUUAACUCUAUAGUCAGCUAUAAUUUGAAAUCAGCUUAUGUGAUUCUUCCAGUUUUGUUCUUUUUGCUUAGGACAGCUUUGUCUAUUAUGGAUCUUUUGUGGUUCCAUGUAAAUUUUAGGACUUUUUUUUUUCUAUUUCUGUGAAGAAUGUC